rnacentral:rRNA from 1 species
UACGGGGGGGGCAAGCGUUGUUCGGAAUUACUGGGCGUAAAGGGCUCGUAGGCGGCCAACUAAGUCAUACGUGAAAUCCCUCGGCUUAACCGGGGAACUGCGUCUGAUACUGGAUGGCUUGAGUUCGGGAGAGGGAUGCGGAAUUCCAGGUGUAGCGGUGAAAUGCGUAGAUAUCUGGAGGAACACCGGUGGCGAAGGCGGCAUCCUGGACCAACACUGACGCUGAGGAGCGAAAGCCAGGGAGCAAAGCGGG